rnacentral:lncRNA from 8 species
AAUUUCAAUGAAUCUCUUGAAUAUAAAUAGAAUUGACUCCCAAAUGAUCUGUUCCUUUCCCCUAUAGGACCCCAUGAUAGAGCCAGCCCUGACCAACAUCAGAUGGAGUCUGAAGAAGAAGAAUCCUCAGAGGUUCAUCAACCCACAGCUGAAGAGACAGAAUACCAACGCCAUGUCCCACAGGUACUGUACCCUGCAUCCCACUUGACUCAACACCUGAACACCACUUUAACACGCUCUCUCUCAUAAUGCAACACAUUUUCUCACGGAGAGCUGCAGCUCUCCCAAGGUAACUCAAAGUGUGUGUGUGUGUGUGUGUGUGUGUGUGUGUGUGUGUGUGUGUGUGUGUGUGUGUGUGUGUGUGUGUGUGUGUGUGUGUGUGUGUGUGUGUGUGUGUGUGUGUGUGUGUGUGUGUGUGUGUGUGUGUGUAAGAAACCGGAAAACCAGACUUCCCGGGUCUACACGGCCUGCUGCAGUGGUGGAAGACUGACCUCUCAGUCGAGGACUACCUCCGAUACAUCACCAAUCAUGUCAGAGGACUCUGACUACCUGUGGGCGGCGUUCCACCUGUAUGAUAGUGGCGAUAGUGACGAUGAGGAGGACGAGAGGAGGAGACUGCUCCAGCUACGACGAGACGAGAGGAAGAAGAGGCGGAGGCAGAAGAUGGAGGCUCUAAAGGGUCAGAAGCAGGAGUACGUGACAGGGGUGUGGAACGUCAACGCGGUGCUGCUGGGAGGGCUGUGGAAGGAACCCGAUCUGGAGGAGGAGGAAGAGAGCCCAGCCCUAAACAGAAGGCCUAUAAGAGGACAGUGA